rnacentral:rRNA from 1 species
CACGUAGGCGGCUUUUCAAGUCAGGGGUGAAAUCCCGGGGCUCAACCCCGGAACUGCCCUUGAAACUGGAUGGCUAGAAUCCUGGAGAGGCGAGUGGAAUUCCGAGUGUAGAGGUGAAAUUCGUAGAUAUUCGGAAGAACACCAGUGGCGAAGGCGACUCGCUGGACAGGUAUUGACGCUGAGGUGCGAAAGCGUGGGGAGCAAACA